AUGGAAGUGGAUUUCUGCAACAUCUACAGCUAUUCAAACCCCUGCAACCACAACUACGAGUAGAUCGGAAUCUCCAUCAUCGUUCCAGAUUCCAGCCACUACUAAACAACCACCGCCGAUCUCCACUAUGAAGCAAGUCAUACCUCCACGUGCAUCCGACUCACGCACACCAUCACCGACGUUUAACAACAAUGUUUCUAACCGCAAAUCCACAUCGGACCUCCUCUGAUCCCAAACUCCGUCUGCCCAGAAUCCCACUAGCCGCACCUGACCCAAAUUGCACCACUGCAAACAUCCAUCUGUGCCAGCUUCAAAGCUUCCGUGCACGUCCUUUUAUCUUUCACUUUUUUUCAUUUACUUAG